UACAGAGGUCUCAAGCGUUGUUCGGAUUCAUUGGGCGUAAAGGGUGCGUAGGCGGCGCGGUGAGUCGGGUGUGAAAUUCGACGGCUUAACUCCGAAACUGCAUUCGAUACUGCGUGCUUGAGGACUGGAGAGGAGACUGGAAUUCAUGGUGUAGCAGUGAAAUGCGUAGAGAUCAUGAGGAAGACCAGUGGCGAAGGCGGGUCUCUGGACAGUUCCUGACAUGAGGCACGAAGGCCAGGGGAGCAAACGGG
rnacentral:rRNA from 1 species